rnacentral:rRNA from 1 species
UACGUAGGGGGCAAGCGUUGUCCGGAUUUAUUGGGCGUAAAGAGCGUGUAGGCGGCUUUACAGGUCCGUUGUGAAAACCCGAGGCUCAACCUCGGGCCUGCAGCCGAUACGGGCAGACUAGAGUUCGGCAGGGGAGACUGGAAUUCCUGGUGUAGCGGUGAAAUGCGCAGAUAUCAGGAGGAACACCGGUGGCGAAGGCGGGUCUCUGGGCCGAUACUGACACUGAGGAGCGAAAGCGUGGGGAGCAAACAGG